GCAUGUGGUUCAGUGGCAGAGUGCUUGCCUAUCAUGCAAGAGGCUCUGGGUUCAAUCCCAGCAGCA
rnacentral:tRNA from 1 species